ACUCCUGUAGUGUAGCCUGGAUAUCACAUUGGCUUGCGGAGCCUAUAACCCGGGUUCGAAAGCAGUGGCCUGUUGUGCUUCACUUCAGUUCUUGCCGAUUGUCCCGGCAGGGGUA
rnacentral:tRNA from 1 species